GAAAAAGCUCUUGAGCUUCAGGGUCAGAGAAGAAUGGUGACAGCUGGUGACAGAUGGAAGCCCGUUCUUCUCACCUGAAGAUGAAGAGCCUCAUCAGAACCAGGGACGCCAUCUUGGAUUUUGAACUCUGGGUGGCGAGAAUUCUCCCACCAUUCGACUGGGAAAUGUCGGAUAGGUCAUCGCAGGGCCAGAGCUGGGAAUUUCCCAGUUCCGAGAACGUGUGGAAUGCAACAUGUGACACACGGAUUCACCAUCCUUGCUUCCACUGCGACUUUCUCCAGUGUAGGAGACUACUUUCACCAUGGCAGACUGCUGCAGGAGAUGGAGAGCAAACCUGCUAAUGAGGAGCGCAGAGGCGGAGGUCUGCUGGAUGCUGGGGGCCACAGAAGGAUUUGUAUGUGAGGAGGAGGAUUUUGUAAGAGACGCGGGAGUUGACGGCGAGCCAGCGGAGACGGAUGAAGGUGGGGGUGAUGGGCUGCCAGGGUUGGGCGCGGGUGAGAGGCCUGGCAGCUGAGCUCGGCACACACUGGAGCCUUUCCAGGGCUUUUCUCCGCACCCCAGACACCGGCGAGCGCUGUAAUGAAGACGGAGGCCACGGGGGCGGGGGCUUAUGUCGGAGGCUCCGAGUGGCGGCUGGAUUCUGGAGGUGUUUUACAGCUGGUUAUAAGCGGAUUUGCUGAUUGAUUAGAUAAGUCCAAAAUGACAGCCGCUGGGAUUCAAGAGCGAGUGGCUAAUUCACUCGCUUCAGCAGAAAACAAAAGCAUAUUUGUUGAUUGGUCGCAGAGCUAAACGCACACACACGCCAAAGCGCUGAUGUGGACCAGGCUGGAGUUAAGAAUGAGUCAUGGUCCUCGGGAACGCAACAUAAAAAUGCAAGGUCAGACUGUUUCUCAUUCCGCCAUGAAGCUGUUCGGCAGCUAAGCCCACAGACUUGGAGCAACAAGAGUCAAGAUUUAGACUUAAUCUGGCCGGGUCAGAAUGUUUCAUCCAAAUGAGCUUUGUUCUGCUGCUCCUGCGGGUGCUGGGUGGUCAGAGGAGUUUAGCUCCCGGACUGGCUUUGUGAAGUGGAGACGAUCAAGUCGGGUAAAAGUUCACCAUCGACGACCAGUCUCUGUCAGCAGCCUCCAGUCCGCUCUGACGCGCCGUCAGGGUCACACUUCCUGGUGGCCCACCAGAGUCCGUCCUCGGCUCCCGGGGUUCUGUUUGUCAACUCUUUCAUUGAUUGUAGUGGCCAAAAUGCGGUGAAACUUGUCAUAAUAUAAAGUUCUGGAGCAACAUGACGGGAAAUAAGGACCUUUGAAAAUGAGUUUAUAUAUAGCUGAUGUUCCGUAAGUCGUUUCCGGGCUGUUUUGUUCCAGAGCUCCUCACAAGGGCGGAGCCUGACGGAGGUUUGGAUGGGGGCGGAGUCUGAGAGGUAAAGGUGUGUGUGAGCGGCUCAUUCAAACAGCAGCUGCUGACGUGGUCCACAGGGUCGGGAUUUAGAGGGUGAGAAAAAUCACGGAGAGAGAUGGAUCUGGAGGUCGGCCAUGUUUGUUUACGGCCACCUGAACUAGUCAGUUCCACUGUUUACAUCUGUCUAUUCUACAUUUCCAUCAUGGGAAUUUGGACGGAUUCAGGAUUCUUCACAUCCACGUCGUGACCCUUGGCGGCAAGAUUUGAGGGCAAACGUGAGCAUUCGUCACAUGACUUCAUCUCAAAAAGGAGGGAGGGAAUAUGAUGCUGCACAUGUUACGUACAUGUUACCUAAAGUGGCUCCGUUUCAGGAUGACGGACACAUUAAAACCCUUGAAAUUACCCCUGUAUGUGCACAUCAACCCUCAAAAGAUCAUGAAGACGCAGCAGUCAGGCGCCGCUGCGCUCUCUUUCCUGCUGCUGCUGCAUUCCAGGCCGGUCCCCCGCUGACCGCCACUCUAUAUUCGGAGGUGUUGUCACGUUGUUUGGGAUCAACUGUGACAAUCCAAAUGACCUCAUGAAACAGCGUCCAUCGAUAAACUGGCAGACGUGUCCGGUUGUUGAUCAGUAACACUGGUGAUUCAUUUCAAUUCGGAGUUGAAGAAUCCAUCCACGCGCCCAUGCAGCGCUCGGAGUGGUUCCAUUUGAACAAGACAUCGCUCUUUUGGGCUGGUGUGGACAGCAGGCGCUGAGUAAUGACUUCCCUUUUAAUGAGAGUAAGAGUUCAGAACAGCAUCAACGGAUGAAGUAUGAAAAGCUGCUCACCUAAUUGGAAACACGUUUGUGCGAAUAAAUCGACCAUUUCAUGAAUUUUAUCAGGAUAUAGAAAUGAACCACUAAUUCUUUGGUUAAAAUUCCAAAUGCUGGCUAGCGUCAGCUAGCAAUAAGUGCUAGUGGCGGGUUUCCUCUUUCUGUACUAGCUAGCAAUGCUAGCGAUUACAAAGCAGGUUUCCCCUAAAAUACAUAUUUGGAUAUUUGAUAUAAAAUUUUGAAUUUUGAACCGCUACCGUGUUCUGCCCGGGGCUAGCAAUGCUAACAAGUACAAAGAUUCUGAAAAAUAUGUAGACAAUGAAAUGUUUAAAACAAAACAGGGGACUCGUAAAAUAACAUUAACUAAAAAGACCUUAACUUUAACUGAAAAACUGUGUUAGAUGUAAUAUUCUCAUAUUGACUUGUUGCUAUAGCUUUCUGGUGUGGCUAGCAAUGCUAAUGAUUACAACGCAGGUUUCCUCUUUGAAUUAAAGUGUGAAAUGAAUCCUCAAAUUUCAUGCUUAGAUUGCUGUAGCGUUCUCCUGUAGCUAGCAUGUUAACAAAACAAAGUGGAUAUUGUAUAUUGUUUGGAGGCAUUUGCCUCAUAGAUACUUGACAGCCUUAGCAUGUCUGUGUGCGUGAAGCUAAUUUGAAGUUUAGCGAUAACAUCUCUUGUUUUCAACGUAUCAAGAUGUGUGCAUACAUGCGUCUAAAGGGCGCCGCAAACAUAACGCUAAUCGGGCUGUUUUUGUCCAGAUUUUGUAAUCGCCCAUUUAUCGUACCGCUUCAACGAUUAUCGUAGAAGAAAAUCUGGGGUGAGCUACGAGGGAAUUCAUCCUGAUAAUCCGCUCCGAAAACUGUCAAGGUCGACAGUCAUGAAUGUAAAAUGUUUCAUAUUUGUGACUGACAAUCUUCACGUGUGUGGUGAGAGCUGAUCGUUCCCGACUUUAACUGUAAUGUGGAACGGAACGGAACCAGUCAAGAAGCGACAGAAAAAUACAAAGAAGCAAAGGAGGGUGUUUUGACGUGUAUUGAACUGACCCUAGUUUUUAAUCAUUUGAAGUAAAUCUCUUCACUCUGCAGCCGCUAGUUAUGAUGUUUCCUUCAGGACUAUUGGGUUAAAAAUCAUCCGUUGCACUUCCAUGUCGUACAGGCAGGAUGUUGAAAAACACCCCCCACGCCUUCUCAUUUUUAAUGCAAAUAUCUUGAGGCUAUUUCGAUACAAAUAGGUGCAAUAAGUAGCCAUCUGGGUCCUGACUGAAGAAGCCUGAAACAACCAGAGUUUAUCGUUGGCUGCCACCCGAGGUCAUUCAGAGCCAGUUGACGAAGUUUGUUGUUGAAAAUAAAAUCGUGGAACUGUUUCAGGCUUGUUCACUGACGCUGCUCUGCUAACAUCAGCCCCUUACGCCAGGUUUUUAUUCCGCUAUUCGCUGAGAAGCAGCUCCAAGCUUUGAGGACUUCACUUCGUAGUUCCGCCCCUCGAAACUCAGAAGCGCGUCGGAGGGAAAUCUCUGGCAUGUGACCGGACUGAGAUUCCUGCUGUGGCAUUAUGUGGUGACGCACUGGAAAACUGCGCUGGUUUGAUUCUGUUUUCAUAAAUAUUUCAAACCUGAUAGUUGCUGUACUUGAGAUGCAAGGUCAAGUCUUCAAUCUUUCAUCUCGCCUUCUCCUCCAUGCUUGAGUGCAUUUGCAACAAGUCCUUUCAAUGCAAGCAUGUUCCCAGAGCCCUGAACAUCCCGUGGGUACAAACUCCUUCACCUUAUUGCUGUCGCCAGCAUCUAACAACUGCACUGCUACACAACUCUGCCCUCACCUGCCACACCACACGCUACCUUCGGAUCCCUGACUCCUCCUCCUCUGAAGCCCUCACAACCUGGUCGAACCUUUGACCAUCAUUGCGCUCCUUGGCCCGCCCCUUCCUCCCCUCCUCUGCCCUCCAUCACUGUCCUCAGCCCACACUUCCUCUCACUGCCCUAAACAGCAAGUCUUUCCUUCCCAUCCCCAAACAGCCUUUCCGUACCAGUGUGAGGUGAGAGGUGAGGACACACCCUGGACAGGUGGUUGGUCCAUCAAGUCAGACACACCUGUGGAGUCACGCAGCCCAGCUUGUUCCCGGCGCUCCGGCGUUACACAUAUAGCCAGCAGUUUAGGGGGGCACUUUGUCACCGCCUCACAGUAAGUCAUCGUGACCUCGGCUAUUUUCAGUCGUAAAAAUUCCAACUCUCUGGAACGCAUCACCGUCAGCUCACCCGAGAGAGAAAGUAACGCAGCCAAGGCAAACCGGAGCUAAAAGAAAAAGCAUAUUCCUUGAUUUUUUUUUUUUAGUUUCAACAGCUCACGUAAGUCGUGUGAGUACAGACCUGGGCAAAGAGCGGCCCUGUGCUCAUAUACAACCUGAUGCCUGUAUUUUGGUGGCCAGUUUGACAUCAGACUAAAACUAUAACUGAUAAGUCCUAAAGUUUCUGCCUUUUUUUGUUUUUUCUCUUAUAGUCCCCACCACCACUUCAGCAGUAAAUAUAGCAUGUUCUUGUGUUAAGACUAAAAUGUUCUUC